AAGGAGAUUAGCCGAGAUGCAAGUAGGCAGACGAACAGGGCGUAAAUCGGCCACGCGCAUUGGAGACCACAGUAAGACGCAAGGGUAGCCAAUAAUUUUCCCUGUCUUAAGGGCAAGCACUUACCGGCGCUCCGGACCCAAGACUUAAAACUUGCGGACCAGCCGAAGGCGACGAAAUCAGAUCUGAUAUGGGCUUUCCACGCUUCGAACAUAUGAAGGACGCUAUGAAGUGGGAACCUGAACGCCUGGCAAGGAUGCUGGAACGUAUAUGGUCUCACCGCAACUCUAUCGUUCCCUUUGGUCGUUAGUAUCCUUCAUCACUUGUUUCGUUGGAAGUGCGAGGUAGGAUGGUGCUUAUAGGCGAUUUGGCAGCCCUUGAGCCCUCGGCUCGUACUAGGGUGGUUUGCAGGUACGGGGAACGCACCCACGACCAUGUAACAACAACAACAACAACAUGGCUUGCGUGGGGCUGUAAAAUUAGUUUUUGCAUGAGUGUGGCGAGAGAUGAGAACAUGUGAAGCGCCUGAGUGAACUAAGGUGCUGGCUUUGGUGCUAGCGAAGUUGCACGGUAAUGGCAGCACGGAGCUGUCAGUAAGAGGUUCUAGUGCAGAACACUUAGCAGUUUCCUGACAGGUGUCGAGACAAGCGUGGAACUCACCAGUGCAGAAUGGGUAGAGGUGGGAGAGGAGGGAGAGGAGGGAGAGGAGGGAGAGGAGGGAGAGGAGGGAGAGGAGGGAGAGGAGGGAGAGGAGGGAGAGGAGGGAGAGGAGGGAGAGGAGGGAGAGGAGGGAGAGGAGGGAGAGGAGGGAGAGGAGGGANNNNNNNNNNNNNNNNNNNNNNNNNNNNNNNNNNNNNNNNNNNNNNNNNNAUGUCGUCGCUUGUCAUGAAGGUAGCACUGUUUUGCAGUUUUNUGAUCUGCUUCAUAAACACCAGGUUGGGGAUAGGUGACAUUGCCGCGUGCGGUUUACCACAGUUACAUAAUUCAUAACCGCAGCACCCUUGGACAGCGGCUCGUUUAGGCUCUGCUGCCGAUGUGAGCGGCCAUGGCGUGUCACCAUGCAGGUGCCCUGGCCAAAGUCGAGUACUACACCGUGUUCACGCAUCCAGCGGCUACCAAGCAUGAGAUCCAUGCCUUCGACUAGCUUAGGCAUGACCUGCGCUACGAUUUUGCAGCGGAACCCUUGGGUACGGAUCGACAGGUGUACCUGAUCUUGCAGGCAGACGCUGUUUGCGCCGUCUCAGCACGCAAGAUGCUACAUGGCUUGCAGGGGCUGGUGCCUGCAGCCGAGAGAAUCGCUUAGGAGAGCGCUAGAGCGGCCCAACAGACAAAGGACUUCUACUUCCAACCUGGGCAUAAACGCCCAGCGGAAAAGGCCGGCUAACGGGGGGCCCGGCAGAUCCGGCGGCGGCGCCGGCGACAACCCCAGGGCCAGGAAAGAAUCCCUACGGCAAGCGCAAGACACGAGAGUCAGCCAACAUCGCACACAGAACAGGGGGCAGCAAACAGAUAACCCACAGGAAGCGCCAAAGGAGGAGACUCGAGAGAUGGAGCCGACAAUCCAACCAGGGAAAGCGGACCCCCCGGAAGGCCGAGGCCGUCAGUGCGAAGGGGGACCUGCGGAGAGCGGGCCCGUCUCAUGGAAGCGCAAAAGACAACACAAUCGUUCGGCGACACCUCACCACGCCACGCAAGCCCCGACCAGGAACAAAGGAAGGCUGCACGGAGCCAGUCGCGUCAGUGCCAAGUAAGGCAAAGGCAUCGAUCUGGGCACGACAGCGGUACGGAAACGCAUCACAAGGAUCGCACAUUCAGGACAACCGGAAAUCAGUGGAUUACUUUAAAAUAAUCUAAACCUAAGGAGAAGGAGAUUAGCCGAGAUGCAAGUAGGCAGACGAACAGGGCGUAAAUCGGCCACGCGCAUUGGAGACCACAGUAAGACGCAAGGGUAGCCAAUAAUUUUCCCUGUCUUAAGGGCAAGCACUUACCGGCGCUCCGGACCCAAGACUUAAAACUUGCGGACCAGCCGAAGGCGACGAAAUCAGAUCUGAUAUGGGCUUUCCACGCUUCGAACAUAUGAAGGACGCUAUGAAGUGGGAACCUGAACGCCUGGCAAGGAUGCUGGAACGUAUAUGGUCUCACCGCAACUCUAUCGUUCCCUUUGGUCGUUAGUAUCCUUCAUCACUUGUUUCGUUGGAAGUGCGAGGUAGGAUGGUGCUUAUAGGCGAUUUGGCAGCCCUUGAGCCCUCGGCUCGUACUAGGGUGGUUUGCAGGUACGGGGAACGCACCCACGACCAUGUAACAACAACAACAACAACAUGGCUUGCGUGGGGCUGUAAAAUUAGUUUUUGCAUGAGUGUGGCGAGAGAUGAGAACAUGUGAAGCGCCUGAGUGAACUAAGGUGCUGGCUUUGGUGCUAGCGAAGUUGCACGGUAAUGGCAGCACGGAGCUGUCAGUAAGAGGUUCUAGUGCAGAACACUUAGCAGUUUCCUGACAGGUGUCGAGACAAGCGUGGAACUCACCAGUGCAGAAUGGGUAGAGGUGGGAGAGGAGGGAGAGGAGGGAGAGGAGGGAGAGGAGGGAGAGGAGGGAGAGGAGGGA
rnacentral:lncRNA from 1 species